rnacentral:rRNA from 1 species
UACGUAGGGUGCAAGCGUUAAUCGGAAUUACUGGGCGUAAAGCGUGCGCAGGCGGUGAUGUAAGACAGUUGUGAAAUCCCCGGGCUCAACCUGGGAACUGCAUCUGUGACUGCAUGGCUAGAGUGCGGCAGAGGGGGAUGGAAUUCCGCGUGUAGCAGUGAAAUGCGUAGAUAUGCGGAGGAACACCGAUGGCGAAGGCAAUCCCCUGGGCCUGCACUGACGCUCAUGCACGAAAGCGUGGGGAGCAAACAGG